rnacentral:rRNA from 1 species
AACGAACGCUGGCGGCAGGCUUAACACAUGCAAGUCGAACGCCCCGCAAGGGGAGUGGCAGACGGGUGAGUAACGCGUGGGAACAUACCCUUUCCUGCGGAAUAGCUCUGGGAAACUGGAAUUAAUACCGCAUACGCCCUACGGGGGAAAGAUUUAUCGGGGAAGGAUUGGCCCGCGUUGGAUUAGCUAGUUGGUGGGGUAAAGGCCUACCAAGGCGACGAUCCAUAGCUGGUCUGAGAGGAUGAUCAGCCACAUUGGGACUGAGACACGGCCCAAACUCCUACGGGAGGCAGCAGUGGGGAAUAUUGGACAAUGGGCGCAAGCCUGAUCCAGCCAUGCCGCGUGAGUGAUGAAGGCCUUAGGGUUGUAAAGCUCUUUCACCGAUGAAGAUAAUGACGGUAGUCGGAGAGGAAGCCCCGGCUAACUUCGCGCCAGCAGCCGCCGUAAUAC